rnacentral:rRNA from 1 species
AUUGAACGCUGGCGGCAGGCCUAACACAUGCAAGUCGAGCGGAUGAAGGGAGCUUGCUCCUGGAUUCAGCGGCGGACGGGUGAGUAAUGCCUAGGAAUCUGCCUGGUAGUGGGGGAUAACGUCCGGAAACGGGCGCUAAUACCGCAUACGUCCUGAGGGAGAAAGUGGGGGAUCUUCGGACCUCACGCUAUCAGAUGAGCCUAGGUCGGAUUAGCUAGUUGGUUGGGUAAAGGCCUACCAAGGCGACGAUCCGUAACUGGUCUGAGAGGAUGAUCAGUCACACUGGAACUGAGACACGGUCCAGACUCCUACGGGAGGCAGCAGUGGGGAAUAUUGGACAAUGGGCGAAAGCCUGAUCCAGCAAUGCCGCGUGUGUGAAGAAGGUCUUCGGAUUGUAAAGCACUUUAAGUUGGGAGGAAGGGCAGUAAGUUAAUACCUUGCUGUUUUGACGUUACCAACAGAAUAAGCACCGGCUAACUUCGUG